UACGUAGGUGGCAAGCGUUGUCCGGAAUUAUUGGGCGUAAAGCGCGCGCAGGCGGCCUUUUAAGUCUGAUGUGAAAGCCCACGGCUCAACCGUGAAAGGUCAUUGGAAACUGAAAGGCUUGAGUACAGAAGAGGAAAGCGGAAUUCCACGUGUAGCGGUGAAAUGCGUAGAGAUGUGGAGGAACACCAGUGGCGAAGGCGGCUUUCUGGUCUGUAACUGACGCUGAGGCGCGAAAGCGUGGGGAGCAAACAGG
rnacentral:rRNA from 1 species